CGCUGGCGGCGUGCUUAACACAUGCAAGUCGAACGGAAAGGCCCUGCUUUUGUGGGGUGCUCGAGUGGCGAACGGGUGAGUAACACGUGAGUAACCUGCCCUUGACUUUGGGAUAACUUCAGGAAACUGGGGCUAAUACCGGAUAGGAGCUCCUGCUGCAUGGUGGGGGUUGGAAAGUUUCGGCGGUUGGGGAUGGACUCGCGGCUUAUCAGCUUGUUGGUGGGGUAGUGGCUUACCAAGGCUUUGACGGGUAGCCGGCCUGAGAGGGUGACCGGCCACAUUGGGACUGAGAUACGGCCCAGACUCCUACGGGAGGCAGCAGUGGGGAAUAUUGCACAAUGGGCGGAAGCCUGAUGCAGCAACGCCGCGCGCGGGAUGACGGCCUUCGGGUUGUAAACCGCUUUCGCCUGUGACGAAGCGUGAGUGACGGUAAUGGGUAAAGAAGCACCGGCUAACUACGUGCCAGCAGCCGCGGUGAUACGUAGGGUGCGAGCGUUGUCCGGAUUUAUUGGGCGUAAAGGGCUCGUAGGUGGUUGAUCGCGUCGGAAGUGUAAUCUUGGGGCUUAACCCUGAGCGUGCUUUCGAUACGGGUUGACUUGAGGAAGGUAGGGGAGAAUGGAAUUCCUGGUGGAGCGGUGGAAUGCGCAGAUAUCAGGAGGAACACCAGUGGCGAAGGCGGUUCUCUGGGCCUUUCCUGACGCUGAGGAGCGAAAGCGUGGGGAGCGAACAGGCUUAGAUACCCUGGUAGUCCACGCUGUAAACGGUGGGUACUAGGUGUGGGGUCCAUUCCACGGGUUCCGUGCCGUAGCUAACGCUUUAAGUACCCCGCCUGGGGAGUACGGCCGCAAGGCUAAAACUCAAAGGAAUUGACGGGGCCCCGCACAAGCGGCGGAGCAUGCGGAUUAAUUCGAUGCAACGCGUAGAACCUUACCUGGGUUUGACAUGGAUCGGGAGUGCUCAGAGAUGGGUGUGCCUCUUUUGGGGUCGGUUCACAGGUGGUGCAUGGCUGUCGUCAGCUCGUGUCGUGAGAUGUUGGGUUAAGUCCCGCAACGAGCGCAACCCUUGUUCACUGUUGCCAGCACGUUAUGGUGGGGACUCAGUGGAGACCGCCGGGGUCAACUCGGAGGAAGGUGGGGAUGACGUCAAGUCAUCAUGCCCCUUAUGUCCAGGGCUUCACGCAUGCUACAAUGGCUGGUACAGAGAGUGGCGAGCCUGUGAGGGUGAGCGAAUCUCGGAAAGCCGGUCUCAGUUCGGAUUGGGGUCUGCAACUCGACCUCAUGAAGUCGGAGUCGCUAGUAAUCGCAGAUCAGCAACGCUGCGGUGAAUACGUUCCCGGGGCUUGUACACACCGCCCGUCAAGUCAUGAAAGUUGGUAACACCCGAAGCCGGUGGCCUAACCGUUGUGGGGGAGCCGUCGAAGGUGGGACUGGUGAUUAGGACUAA
rnacentral:rRNA from 1 species